UGGGGAAUAUUGCACAAUGGGGAAAGACCCUGAUGCAGCGACGCCGCGUUGAGGAAGAAGGCCCUCGGGUUGUAAACUCCUGUCUUUGGGGACGAUAAUGACGGUACCCAAGGAGGAAGCCACGGCUAACUACGUGCCAGCAGCCGCGGUAAAACGUAGGUGGCAAGCGUUGUCCGGAAUUACUGGGUGUAAAGGGAGCGCAGGCGGAGCGGCAAGUUGGAGGUGAAACCCAUGGGCUCAACCCAUGAACUGCCUUCAAAACUGUCGGUCUUGAGUGGUGUAGAGGUAAGCGGAAUUCCCGGUGUAGCGGUGGAAUGCGUAGAUAUCGGGAGGAACACCAGUGGCGAAGGCGGCUUACUGGGCACUAACUGACGCUGAGGCUCGAAAGCGUGGGGAGCAAACAGGAUUAGAUACCC
rnacentral:rRNA from 1 species